rnacentral:misc_RNA from 1 species
GCAAACUUGGUCAUUUAGAGGAAGUAAAAGUCGUAACAAGGUUUCCGUAGGUGAACCUGCGGAAGGAUCAUUACAGUGCCAGCGGGAGCGUCGCGGCCGUCCCCCCCAACCCGGGGGGCCGUGUUCGAUCGGCGCCCUGCGACCGGCCCCACACUUGUCUACAGACCGCGUUGCCUCGGCGGGCCCGCCGCUUAGUCGGCCGCCGGGGGGGACUAAAUCUCCCCCCUGGUCAGCGCCCGCCGGAGGACCGAUCGAAAUAUCUUUUUUUAACGAGUUGCAGUCUGAGCGAUAAUCGCAAAUGAAUCAAAACUUUCAACAAUGGAUCUCUUGGUUCCGGCAUCGAUGAAGAACGCAGC